GACAUAUGUAAGACUUAUGCUACGGCCAUAAGGUUGGUAUGAUAUUACCGUAUGUUU
rnacentral:tRNA from 1 species